UACGGGAGGCAGCAGUGGGGAAUAUUGCACAAUGGGCGAAAGCCUGAUGCAGCUAUGCCGCGUGUAUGAAGAAGGCCUUAGGGUUGUAAAGUACUUUCAUCGGGGAGGAAAAAACAAAACUAAUAAUUUUAUUUCUUGACGUUACCCGAAAAAGAAGCACCGGCUAACUCCGUGCCAGCAGCCGCGGUAAUACGGAGGGUGCUAGCGUUAAUCAGAAUUACUGGGCGUAAAGAGCACGUAGGUGGUUUUUUUAAAGUCAGAUGUGAAAUCCCUGGGCUUAACCUAGGAACUGCAUUUUGAAACUGAAAUACUAGAGUAUCGUAGAGGGAGGUAGAAUUCUAGGUGUAGCGGUGAAAUGCGUAGAUAUCUGGAGGAAUACCUGUGGCGAAAGCGGCCUCCUAAACGAAUACUGACACUGAGGGUGCGAAAGCGUGGGGAGCAAACGAGGGAUUAGAUACC
rnacentral:rRNA from 1 species